UACGGAGGGAGCUAGCGUUGUUCGGAAUUACUGGGCGUAAAGCGUACGUAGGCGGCUUUGUAAGUUAGAGGUGAAAGCCCGGGGCUCAACUCCGGAACUGCCUUUAAGACUGCAUCGCUAGAAUCCGGGAGAGGUGAGUGGAAUUCCGAGUGUAGAGGUGAAAUUCGUAGAUAUUCGGAAGAACACCAGUGGCGAAGGCGGCUCACUGGACCGGCAUUGACGCUGAGGUACGAAAGCGUGGGGAGCAAACAGG
rnacentral:rRNA from 1 species